UACAGAGGUCUCAAGCGUUGUUCGGAUUCAUUGGGCGUAAAGGGUGCGUAGGCGGCGCGGUAAGUCGGGUGUGAAAUCUUGGAGCUUAACUCCGAAACUGCAUUCGAUACUGCCGUGCUUGAGGACUGGAGAGGAGACUGGAAUUUACGGUGUAGCGGUGAAAUGCGUAGAUAUCAGGAAGAACACCCGUGGCUAAGGCGGCUCUCUAGUACGGUACUGACGCUGAGACGCGAAAGCGUGGGGAGCGAACAGG
rnacentral:rRNA from 1 species